AGUGAACGCUGGCGGUAGGCCUAACACAUGCAAGUCGAACGGCAGCACAGUAAGAGCUUGCUCUUACGGGUGGCGAGUGGCGGACGGGUGAGGAAUACAUCGGAAUCUACUUUUUCGUGGGGGAUAACGUAGGGAAACUUACGCUAAUACCGCAUACGACCUACGGGUGAAAGCAGGGGAUCUUCGGACCUUGCGCGAUUGAAUGAGCCGAUGUCGGAUUAGCUAGUUGGCGGGGUAAAGGCCCACCAAGGCGACGAUCCGUAGCUGGUCUGAGAGGAUGAUCAGCCAGACUGGAACUGAGACACGGUCCAGACUCCUACGGGAGGCAGCAGUGGGGAAUAUUGGACAAUGGGCGCAAGCCUGAUCCAGCCAUACCGCGUGGGUGAAGAAGGCCUUCGGGUUGUAAAGCCCUUUUGUUGGGAAAGAAAAGCAGCAGGUUAAUACCCCGCUGUUCUGACGGUACCCAAAGAAUAAGCGCCGGCUAACUUCGUG
rnacentral:rRNA from 1 species